AUUGAACGCUGGCGGCAGGCCUAACACAUGCAAGUCGAGCGGAUGAAGGGAGCUUGCUCCUGGAUUCAGCUGCGGACGGGUGAGUAAUGCCUAGGAAUCUGCCUGGUAGUGGGGGAUAACGUCCGGAAACGGGCGCUAAUACCGCAUACGUCCUGAGGGAGAAAGUGGGGGAUCUUCGGACCUCACGCUAUCAGAUGAGCCUAGGUCGUAUUAGCUAGUUGGUGGGGUAAAGGCCUACCAAGGCGACGAUCCGUAACUGGUCUGAGAGGAUGAUCAGUCACACUGGAACUGAGACACGGUCCAGACUCCUACGGGAGGCAGCAGUGGGGAAUAUUGGACAAUGGGCGAAAGCCUGAUCCAGCCAUGCCGCGUGUGUGAAGAAGGUCUUCGGAUUGUAAAGCACUUUAAGUUGGGAGGAAGGGCAGUAAGUUAAUACCUUGCUGUUUUGACGUUACCAACAGAAUAAGCCCCGGCUAACUUCGUG
rnacentral:rRNA from 1 species